GCUUGUUGGUGAGGUAAUGGCUCACCAAGGCGUCGACGGGUAGCCGGCCUGAGAGGGUGACCGGCCACACUGGGACUGAGACACGGCCCAGACUCCUACGGGAGGCAGCAGUGGGGAAUAUUGCACAAUGGGCGCAAGCCUGAUGCAGCAACGCCGCGUGAGGGACGACGGCCUUCGGGUUGUAAACCUCUUUUAGCAGGGAAGAAGCGAAAGUGACGGUACCUGCAGAAAAAGCGCCGGCUAACUACGUGCCAGCAGCCGCGGUAAUACGUAGGGCGCAAGCGUUAUCCGGAAUUAUUGGGCGUAAAGAGCUCGUAGGCGGUUUGUCGCGUCUGCUGUGAAAUCCGGAGGCUCAACCUCCGGCCUGCAGUGGGUACGGGCAGACUAGAGUGCGGUAGGGGAGAUUGGAAUUCCUGGUGUAGCGGUGGAAUGCGCAGAUAUCAGGAGGAACACCGAUGGCGAAGGCAGAUCUCUGGGCCGUAACUGACGCUGAGGAGCGAAAGGGUGGGGAGCAAACAGGCUUAGAUACCCUGGUAGUCCACCCCGUAAACGUUGGGAACUAGUUGUGGGGUCCAUUCCACGGAUUCCGUGACGCAGCUAACGCAUUAAGCGCCCCGCCUGGGGAGUACGGAAUCUCUAGAGGAUCCCC
rnacentral:rRNA from 1 species